rnacentral:rRNA from 1 species
AGGUCCAGCCUGCCCAGUGACAUAGUUCAACGGCCGCGGUAUCCUAACCGCGCGAAGGUAGCAUAAUCACUUGUUCUUUAAAUAGGGACUUGUAUCAACGGCACCACGAGGGCUGUACUGUCUCCUUUUCCCAAUCAGUGAAACUGAUCUCCCUGUGAAAAAGCAGGAAUAACCCUAUAAGACGAGAAGACCCCAUGGAGCUUCAAACCCACCGGCAACUCAUUCACACACUCCCCCUGAACCAAAAGAGACAUGCCCGUAAGUUUUAGGUUGGGGCAACCGCGGAGUAAAAAUUAACCUCCACGACGAAAAGAACUAAACCUUUAUUCAAGAGCCACCCCUCCAGAAAUUAGUAUACUAACGUAAAAUGACCCGAUUAUCGAUCAACGAACCAAGUUACCCUGGGGAUAACAGCGCAAUCUACUUCAAGAGCCCCUAUCGACAAGUAGGCCUACGACCUCGAUGUUGGAUCAGGGCAUCCCAGUGGUGCAGCCGCUACUAAUGGUUCGUUUGUUCAACGAU